rnacentral:rRNA from 1 species
AGCGAACGCUGGCGGCAGGCUUAACACAUGCAAGUCGAACGGGCGUAGCAAUACGUCAGUGGCAGACGGGUGAGUAACGCGUGGGAACGUACCUUUUGGUUCGGAACAACCCAGGGAAACUUGGGCUAAUACCGGAUAAGCCCUUACGGGGAAAGGAUUUAUCGCCGAAAGAUCGGCCCGCGUCUGAUUAGCUAGUUGGUGAGGUAACGGCUCACCAAGGCGACGAUCAGUAGCUGGUCUGAGAGGAUGAUCAGCCACAUUGGGACUGAGACACGGCCCAAACUCCUACGGGAGGCAGCAGUGGGGAAUAUUGGACAAUGGGCGGCAAGCCUGAUCCAGCCAUGCCGCGUGAGUGAUGAAGGCCCUAGGGUUGUAAAGCUCUUUUACCCGGG